UCGGAAGAAAAUUGAAAAUGGGGUGAGGGGGUGAGACCUAUCAGAAAUCUUUGCAAGAAAAAAAGGAUCAUAGGUAUGGUUGUCUAACUUUGAAAAAAACCCAUUCACAUGUAGUGGGGGGGGGGGGGGGGUCCGACGCCUAUGCGAUAUCACAUUACUACGCUUGUGUAGCAUUUUCUUUAUGCCUAAUCUCCUACAUGUAUAUCAGUGCGGUAUUCUCAGGAAAAAAUGCGGGUUUUCCUGGACAUGGUUAGAAAUCUAAUUGGUAGAUCGGUUCUCUAAAAGAAUUAACAUCUAACGUAGUUAAAUUUUAGCGUCUUUUUAAUCUCUGGAUUUUUUUCUCACCCUUUGAAUGUUAUGAAACGUUCUACAUGUAUAUUUCAAAUAUGAUUGCAUUUUUCUUUUUAAAGGUAUAUAUAUAUUUUAAUGCUGUAAAAUAACAUUUUGUGAGUUACAGAAAUAUUUUAAUGUCAAACGUCUAUUAAUGUACUUUUUCCUACUCAUUUAAACGUCUGCUUGCUUCAAAGAAAUCUUGUUAUCAAAGGCAUGAACUGUUCUUUUUUGUUAUUUGUGAAUUAUUGCGAUCAUGCGCACCGUUUACGAGAAAGGGCCCCGGGCGUUAAAGCCCUGCACUAUUUGGAAGGCCAAGUGUACGAGUAUCUUGCCGUAUCUGUACAUAUGUCCUUGUGCAUGUAUCUUGGGAUUUACUAGUACAUGUAUGUGGUAAUUCUGAUUCUGAGCAUUUUUAUUGUUGUUGUUUCAGUAUUGAUGAAAUAAAAAAAUAAAGGGGAUUU
rnacentral:sRNA from 1 species